UACAGAGGGGGCAAGCGUUGUCCGGAAUUAUUGGGCGUAAAGAGCUCGUAGGCGGUCUGUCGCGUCGGAUGUGAAAAUCCAGGGCUCAACCCUGGACCUGCAUUCGAUACGGGCAGACUAGAGUUCGGUAGGGGAGACUGGAAUUCCUGGUGUAGCGGUGAAAUGCGCAGAUAUCAGGAGGAACACCGGUGGCGAAGGCGGGUCUCUGGGCCGAAACUGACGCUGAGGAGCGAAAGCGUGGGGAGCGAACAGG
rnacentral:rRNA from 1 species